rnacentral:rRNA from 1 species
AGUGAACGCUGGCGGUAGGCCUAACACAUGCAAGUCGAACGGCAGCACAGUAAGAGCUUGCUCUUACGGGUGGCGAGUGGCGGACGGGUGAGGACUACAUCGGAAUCUACUUUUUCGUGGGGGAUAACGUAGGGAAACUUACGCUAAUACCGCAUACGACCUACGGGUGAAAGCAGGGGAUCUUCGGACCUUGCGCGAUUGAAUGAGCCGCUGUCGGAUUAGCUAGUUGGCGGGGUAAAGGCCCACCAAGGCGACGAUCCGUAGCUGGUCUGAGAGGAUGAUCAGCCACACUGGAACUGGGACACGGUCCCGACUCCUACGGGAGGCAGCAGUGGGGAAUAUUGGACAAUGGGCGCAAGCCUUAUCCAGCCAUACCGCGUGGGUGAAGAAGGCCUUCGGGUUGUAAAGCCCUUUUGUUGGGAAAGAAAAGCAGCAGGUUAAUACCCCGCUGUUCUGACGGUACCCAAAGAAUAAGCACCGGCUAACUUCGUG